AGUACUUCGGCGUCGGUCAAAUCUUAUAUAAAUUCAUUAGUGAAACGCAAAAGGUUAAACAACUGAGGCAGACCUUUAUCUGCUUUGUCUGUAAUCAUAUCCUCCAUAGACAAAAGCCAAACACUUUGGGUUUUUGCAACCACGGCCCCUGAAAUAGCUACUUUGCACUGAUUUCCUGCAGCCUGAUAUGCCCUUCUGCAGGACGUUUCUGCACGUUUAUCCAUCGGCUCCUUUAAGCCAGAAUCUUCUAUUAGAAUAGUGGGUUUUUUUUUUUUUUUUUUUAAGUUGAGCCACCCGAAUGUCUGCUUUUGGGAG